rnacentral:rRNA from 1 species
UACGAAGGGGGCUAGCGUUGCUCGGAUUUACUGGGCGUAAAGGGUGCGUAGGUGGCCACUUAAGUCAGAACGUGAAAUCCCUCAGCUUAACUGGGGAACUGCGUCUGAUACUGAGUGGCUUGAGUGCAGGAGAGGAAUGCGGAAUUCCAGGUGUAGCGGUGAAAUGCGUAGAUAUCUGGAGGAACACCGGUGGCGAAGGCGGCUACUCUGGGCCUUACCUGACGCUGAGGAGCGAAAGCGUGGGUAGCGAACAGG